GGAGUUUUGGUCUAGUGGUAUGAUUCUCGCUUUGGGUGCGAGAGGCCGCGGGUUCGAUUCCCGCAACUCCC
rnacentral:tRNA from 1 species